UGCCCAGUGACUCUGUUCAACGGCCGCGGUAUCCUAACCGUGCGAAGGUAGCGUAAUCACUUGUUCUUUAAAUAAGGACUAGUAUGAAUGGCAUCACGAGGGUUACACUGUCUCCUUUUUCCAAUCAGUGAAACUAAUCUUCCCGUGAAGAAGCGGGAAUCAUUAUAUAAGACGAGAAGACCCUAUGGAGCUUUAAACAAACAACAUUUGCUAACUCACCAGCGAUACCCAGGUCGCUAAUCUUAAUCCUAGCACUAUGAUUUCAAGUUUUUGGUUGGGGUGACCGCGGAGUAAAAAUUAACCUCCACAAUGAAAGAACUCUUUCUAAGUAAAAAGCUACUACUUUAAGCAUCAAUAAAUUGACAUUCAUUGACCCAAUAUUUUGAUCAACGAACCAAGUUACCCUAGGGAUAACAGCGCAAUCCACUUUAAGAGCUCUUAUCGACAAGUGGGCUUACGACCUCGAUGUUGGAUCAGGGUACCCCAGUGGUGUAGCCGCUACUAAAGGUUCGUUUGUUCAACGAUUAAAACCCUACGUGAUCUGAGUUCAGACCGGA
rnacentral:rRNA from 1 species